CCUACGGGAGUCAGCAGUGAGGAAUAUUGGUCAAUGGACGAGAGUCUGAACCAGCCAAGUAGCGUGAAGGAUGACUGCCCUAUGGGUUGUACACUUCUUUUAUAAAGGAAUAAAACGAGGCACGUGUGCCUUUUUGCAUGUACUUUAUGAAUAAGGAUCGGCUAACUCCGUGCCCGCAGCCGCGGUCAUACGGAGGAUACGAGCGUUAUCCGGAUUUAUUGGGUUUAAAGGGUGCUUAGAUGGGUUGUUAAUUCAGUUGUGAAAGUUUGCGGCUCAACCGUAAAAUUGCAAUUGAUACUGGCAGUCUUGAGUACAGUUGAGGUAGGCGGAAUUCGUGGUGGAGCGGUGAAAUGCUUAGAUAUCACGAAGAACCCCGAUUGCGAAGGCAGCUUACUAAACUGUGACUGACAUUGAUGCUCGAAAGUGUGGGUAUCAAACAGGAUUAGAUACCCUUGUAGUC
rnacentral:rRNA from 1 species